CAGACGUGAGCUCUUCCGUCCCGCCUAUCCCCGGCCGUCGCCGGCAGAGAAACACGAAAUGUGGG
rnacentral:lncRNA from 1 species